GGCCUAACACAUGCAAGUCGAGCGGAUGAAAGGAGCUUGCUCCUGGAUUCAGCGGCGGACGGGUGAGUAAUGCCUAGGAAUCUGCCUGGUAGUGGGGGACAACGUUUCGAAAGGAACGCUAAUACCGCAUACGUCCUACGGGAGAAAGCAGGGGACCUUCGGGCCUUGCGCUAUCAGAUGAGCCUAGGUCGGAUUAGCUAGUUGGUGAGGUAAUGGCUCACCAAGGCGACGAUCCGUAACUGGUCUGAGAGGAUGAUCAGUCACACUGGAACUGAGACACGGUCCAG
rnacentral:rRNA from 1 species